CAGUCGCCGCGGGAAUACGUAGGGCGCAAGCGUUGUCCGGAAUUAUUCGGCGUAAAGAGCUCGUAGGCGGUCUGUCGCGUCUGGUGUGAAAUCCCGAGGCUCAACCUCGGGCUUGCAUCGGGUACGGGCAGACUAGAGUGCGGUAGGGGAGACUGGAAUUCCUGGUGUAGCGGUGGAAUGCGUAGAUAUCAGGAGGAACACCGAUGGCGAAGGCAGGUCUCUGGGCCGCAACUGACGCUGAGGAGCGAAAGCAUGGGGAGCGAACAGGAUUAGAUACCCCUGUAGUCCCUGUCUCUUAUAC
rnacentral:rRNA from 1 species